GCCGUAAGAGGCAGUGGAGGACCGAACCCACAUCCGUUGAAAAGGGUGGGGAUGAGGUGUGGAUAGGGGAGAAAUUCCAAUCGAACCCGGAGAUAGCUGGUUCUCCUCGAAAUAGCUUUAGGGCUAGCCUUGGUAGAGAUUUGCGGAGGUAGAGCACUGAAUUUCCUAGGGGGCGUCAAAGCCUACCGAAGAAUAUCAAACUCCGAAUGCCGUGUAAUUGCUUACCAGGAGUCAGACUGUACGAGAUAAGUUGGACAGUCAAAAGGGAAAGAGCCCAGACCUUCAGUUAAGGUCCCAAAGUGUGCGUUAAGUGGAAAAGGAUGUGGGAUUUCGAAGACAACCAGGAUGUUGGCUCAGAAGCAGCCAUUCAUUCAAAGAGUGCGUAAUAGCUCACUGGUCGAGAGGUCCUGCGCCGAAAAUGUCCGGGGCUGAAACGCGCCACCGAAACUAAGGAAUCCGAAAGGAUUGGUAGAGGAGCAUUGCAUGUGGGACGAAGCAGUACCGAAAGGAGCUGUGGACUGCAUGGAAGAGAGAAUGCCGGAAUGAGUAGCGAGAUAGAGGUGAGAAUCCUCUAGGCCGAAUAUCCAAGGUUUCCAGGGUAAAGCUGAUCUGCCCUGGGUAAGUCGGGGCCUAAGGUGAGGGCGAGAGCCGUAGCCGAUGGACAACAGGUGGAGAUUCCUGUACUAUGAUAUGACAGAACUGUGGGGACACGUGCAGAGAGCGGAAGCCGGGAAUGGAAUCCCGGUGCAAGCGAGGUACCAGUCACAUUGGAAAAACCGUGUGGCAAUGGGAAGACGUGAUGCGGAGUGAAAAAUAGUAACGAAGUCCGUGAGCUGUGCGUCAAGAAAAGCCGCUAUUGUUCAUACCAUACCCGUACCGUAAACCGACACAGGUGGAUGAGGAGAGAAUCCUAAGGCCGGCGGAAGAAGCAUUGUCAAGGAACUCGGCAAAAUGACCCCGUAACUUCGGGAGAAGGGGUGCCACUGAAAAGUGGCCGCAGAGAAUAGGCUCAAGCAACUGUUUAGCAAAAACACAGGUCUAUGCGAAACCGUAAGGUGAGGUAUAUGGGCUGACGCCUGCCCGGUGCUGGAAGGUUAAGAGGAGAGGUUAGCGCAAGCGAAGCUUUGAAUUUAAGCCCCAGUAAACGGCGGCCGUAACUAUAACGGUCCUAAGGUAGCGAAAUUCCUUGUCGGGUAAGUUCCGACCCGCACGAAAGGCGUAAUGAUUUGAGCGCUGUCUCGACAAUGCAUCCGGUGAAAUUGAAGUACCAGUGAAGAUGCUGGUUACCUGCGCCAGGACGGAAAGACCCCAUGGAGCUUUACUCCAGUUUGGUACUGGGAUCCGGUACUGCAUGUACAGGAUAGGUGGGAGGCUAUGAAAUGGUAACGCCAGUUGCCAUGGAGCCGCUGUUGGGAUACCACCCUUGCAGUAUUGGGUUUCUAACCAGCCGCCGUGACCCGGCGGUGGGACAAUGCCAGACGGGGAGUUUGACUGGGGCGGUCGCCUCCGAAAGGGUAUCGGAGGCGCCCAAAGGUUCCCUCAGGAUGGACGGAAACCAUCCAAAGAGUGCAAAGGCAGAAGGGAGCUUGACUGCGACACCGACGGGUGGAGCAGGUACGAAAGUAGGGCUUAGUGAUCCGGUGGUAUUAAGUGGGAAUGCCAUCGCUCAACGGAUAAAAGCUACCCUGGGGAUAACAGGCUUAUCACUCCCAAGAGUUCACAUCGACGGAGUGGUUUGGCACCUCGAUGUCGGCUCAUCGCAUCCUGGGGCUGUAGUAGGUCCCAAGGGUUGGGCUGUUCGCCCAUUAAAGCGGUACGCGAGCUGGGUUCAGAACGUCGUGAGACAGUUCGGUCCCUAUCC
rnacentral:rRNA from 1 species